CAAUCUGCCCUAAAGACUGGGAUACCACUUGGAAACAGGUGCUAAUACCGGAUAACAACAUGAAUCGCAUGAUUCAAGUUUGAAAGGCGGCGUAAGCUGUCACUUUAGGAUGAGCCCGCGGCGCAUUAGCUAGUUGGUGGGGUAAAGGCCUACCAAGGCAAUGAUGCGUAGCCGAGUUGAGAGACUGAUCGGCCACAUUGGGACUGAGACACGGCCCAAACUCCUACGGGAGGCAGCAGUAGGGAAUCUUCCACAAUGGACGCAAGUCUGAUGGAGCAACGCCGCGUGAGUGAAGAAGGUUUUCGGAUCGUAAAGCUCUGUUGUUGGUGAAGAAGGAUAGAGGCAGUAACUGGUCUUUAUUUGACGGUAAUCAACCAGAAAGUCACGGCUAACUACGUGCCAGCAGCCGCGGUAAUACGUAGGUGGCAAGCGUUGUCCGGAUUUAUUGGGCGUAAAGCGAGCGCAGGCGGAAUGAUAAGUCUGAUGUGAAAGCCCACGGCUCAACCGUGGAACUGCAUCGGAAACUGUCAUUCUUGAGUGCAGAAGAGGA
rnacentral:rRNA from 1 species